AUGUUCUAACGUUGACCCGUGAUCCGGGUUGCGGACAGUGUCUGGUGGGUAGUUUGACUGGGGCGGUCUCCUCCUAAAGAGUAACGGAGGAGCACGAAGGUUGGCUAAUCCUGGUCGGACAUCAGGAGGUUAGUGCAAUGGCAUAAGCCAGCUUGACUGCGAGCGUGACGGCGCGAGCAGGUGCGAAAGCAGGUCAUAGUGAUCCGGUGGUUCUGAAUGGAAGGGCCAUCGCUCAACGGAUAAAAGGUACUCCGGGGAUAACAGGCUGAUACCGCCCAAGAGUUCAUAUCGACGGCGGUGUUUGGCACCUCGAUGUCGGCUCAUCACAUCCUGGGGCUGAAGUAGGUCCCAAGGGUAUGGCUGUUCGCCAUUUAAAGUGGUACGCGAGCUGGGUUUAGAACGUCGUGAGACAGUUCGGUCCCUAUCUGCCGUGGGCGCUGGAGAACUGAGGGGGGCUGCUCCUAGUACGAGAGGACCGGAGUGGACGCAUCACUGGUGUUCGGGUUGUCAUGCCAAUGGCACUGCCCGGUAGCUAAAUGCGGAAGAGAUAAGUGCUGAAAGCAUCUAAGCACGAAACUUGCCCCGAGAUGAGUUCUCCCUGACUCCUUGAGAGUCCUGAAGGAACGUUGAAGACGACGACGUUGAUAGGCCGGGUGUGUAAGCGCAGCGAUGCGUUGAGCUAACCGGUACUAAUGAACCGUGAGG
rnacentral:rRNA from 1 species